UGGCAGUCAGAGGCGAUGAAAGGCGUAAUAACUUGCGAUAAGCCCAGAUUAGGUAGUAAUAACCUUUUGAGUCUGGGAUUCCUGAAUGGGGAAACCCACGUGCAUAAGCACGUAUCCUGUUGUGAAUACAUAGCAACAGGAGGCAAACCGGGGGAACUGAAACAUCUAAGUACCCCGAGGAAGAGAAAUCAACCGAGAUUCCGAAAGUAG
rnacentral:rRNA from 1 species